GGUGUUACGCCGGAUGAACGGAAAUCAUUGAUGUUGAUUAAUAUGGGAUGAAAAGUCUCUGACACUA
rnacentral:tRNA from 1 species